UAACAUUUUAUAUUUUAAGUUUCUUCUCUAAUGUCAACCACUUGCAUUUUUUUGUUAUUCUAAUAAUGUCUUCUUUGUUUUAUCUCUUUUCACCCAUAUUUAAAUAAUAAUAGAAUUUUAAAUAAUAAUAUUAAUAUAAAUAAUAAAAUAUCACUGGAAAGAAUGUAUCUACCUGAGAGUCAAUCAAAAAACUAUUGCAUAAAUGUGUCUCUCGACUGUUACCUGCAGCACUUGGAGAGUCGCUGAUCAGUGUUGCCAAUGUUGAUAUGUGUAAUAAUAAUAAUAACCAUGUUAGAUCAAAAUUAACAUUGUUCAAAAUUGUGUAUGCAAAAUAUUCCUGUAUAGUUUUAGUUUAUAGUGUCCUAUGUGAAAGUUGUCACCAGAGCUGGAGCUGGAGUCAGAGCCUGCAGCCAUGGAGCCAGGAAGUUUUGGAGGAACCGGAGCCAGAGCCAUUAAAAUUUCUGCUGGCUCCAGCUCCUAACCAUCUGUCAUAUAUACUCAAAUAUAAGCCGACACCCCG
rnacentral:lncRNA from 1 species